CGUGGAUUAGGCAUGCAAGUCGAACGGUAGAUAUCCUUCGGGAUAGUUGAGAGUGGCGAACGGGUGAGUAACACGUAGAUGAUCGUACCCCUCAAAUGGGGGGACAACCCAGGGAAACUUGGGCUAAUACCGCAUGAGUGCAGCGCAUAAAGCAGUCUUUAGGUGGGUGUUUUAUGCGUUGCAUAAAAGGUGGCCUUCGGGCUGUCGUUUGAGGAUGAGUCUGCGUCCUAUUAGUUAGUUGGUGAGGUAAUGGCUCACCAAGGCGAUGAUAGGUAGGCGGCCUUAACGGGUGGCCGCCCACACCGGGAUUGAGAUACGGCCCAGACUCCUACGGGAGGCAGCAGUCGAGAAUAGUCUACAAUGGACGAAAGUCUGAUAGUGCGACGCCGCGUGAACGAAGAAUCCCUUCGGGGUGUAAAGUUCUUUUUUAAUAUGUGAGCAAUGCUUUUUAUGUGAAUAGCAUGAGAAGAGAGAUAUUAGCAUAUGAAUAAGCAACGGCUAACUCCGUGCCAGCCGCUGC
rnacentral:rRNA from 1 species